GCAAAAUCACUAGUUCUUUAAUUGGGGACUUGAAUGAAGGGUUGGACGAGAAGCUAGCUGUCUUUAUUGAAAGUAUGGAAUUUAACUUUUAAGUGAGAAGGCUUAAAUAUUUUAAGGGGACGAGAAGACCCUAUAAAAUUUAACGGUUGUAUAUUAAUGGGGGAGUAGGGUAAGGUUAAAAUUUUUGUUAAAAAAAUGUAUUGUUUCGUUGGGGCGAUGGGAAUAUAAAUAAAUUAACUGUUCUUUGAUUGGAUUUUCAAUGAUAUUUGUGGCUCGUGAUCCUUAUUAGAGAUUGAAAGAGUAAAUUACUUUAGGGAUAACAGCGUAAUUUUUCUUGAGAGUUCUUAUCGAUAGAGGAGUUUGCGACCUCGAUGUUGAAUUAA
rnacentral:rRNA from 1 species